GUAAUUUCCGAGGGGGUAAUCAGUCGGUCCCUUUGAUCUUCGAACAACAUAGGCCAAUUUCCAAGGGGGGGGAAUGUGUCGGCACUUUGAUGUUCAAUUUCCUAAGCGGGUAAAACUUUUAAGGACCCCUCAAUAGGGGGGGUGCACAUAUUAAAUGGAAUGGCCCAAUAUUAAAGACGACUAUAAACGAGACGAAGUUGUCCAUCGAAGAUAUGAAGGUUGAUAAAAUGGACAAUUUGUCAAACAGAACCGCGAGGGUAAGCAUUUGUACUUAUAUCUGAUAAAUUGUGUAUACAUGUCAUUUGGUAUAGAACGCUCUGAUUUUAUGCACCUAUCAAUGUUAACCCCGAGGGGGGGGGGUCGGGCAAAGGGUGGGGAUUUGAUCAAUCAGGUGGUCCCAUGGGUCGGGAUUUGGACUGACACUUUUUUCCUAAGUGGCCCGAGGGUGGGGAUUUUUGACAGAUUAACACUGAUCUCAGACGAUAUACUGAAGAAACCUGAGCCAAUUUUAGAACAAACUCUGACUCGUCACCAGUCGCCCGCGUUGUAGCUGUCAACGCCUAACCCGCGAACGGGCAUAUCCUCCCGCACUAAAAGGUAACGAGGGACUGUGGAAGAGUCAGGAACAAACUGAAGACUGGGCACUAGUUUAUCGCUCGCUGUCUCGCGCGUUGUUUUUACAAGAAAUAUGGAAAUUUCUACCCUGGAUUCCAGAGCCUUCGACAGUAAAUAAUAAAUUGAAAUGUCGCGAAGGCUCUGGUUCAACGGGGCGAUUCUUUGAUUAAGCCGCGCCAAUCACA